UACGUAGGGGGCAAGCGUUGUCCGGAUUCAUUGGGCGUAAAGAGCGUGUAGGCGGCCAGGUAGGUCGGUUGUGAAAGCCCGGGGCUCAACCCCGGGUCUGCAGUCGAUACGGGCAGGCUAGAGUUCGGUAGGGGAGAUCGGAAUUCCUGGUGUAGCGGUGAAAUGCGCAGAUAUCAGGAGGAACACCGGUGGCGAAGGCGGAUCUCUGGGCCGAUACUGACGCUGAGGAGCGAAAGCGUGGGGAGCGAACAGG
rnacentral:rRNA from 1 species